rnacentral:lncRNA from 1 species
AAAAGAUGAUGAUAAAUUAAAAAAGAAAAACAGAGUUGGAACAGAGAAGCAGAUAACACCAAAGCUGUGCACAUAACCGUCAUAAACAGACCAUUUUUUCGACAAGUUUUACAGCAAAGGGGGUUCUUGAGUUUGAACUAGAUUUUCGGUCAUGGUUGCGGGGAAAUUACAUAACCGUCUGUUCUUCCACAAACAAGAUCUUCAGGCCUCAUCCAUCUGCUCCUGAAUAAAGCAAUCAAUCAUUGAGUUUUGAUGUCAUAAUCCAAAUAGUGUUACAAAGUUAUAAGAGUAUCUAUGAUCACAACACUUAAAAACGUAUGCAGAUGAGGUGAUUGAAUAUGAGAGAGAGAGAGCAAACCUGCAUGUCGGAGGUCCAGAGGGUUAGGUUGUCCCUUAGCAACUGCAUGAUGAGAGUACUGUCCUUGUACGACUCCUCUCCCAACGUGUCCAGCUCAGCAAUGGCUUCCUCGAAAGCCUGCAGGUAAAACAGAAAUUAAAAAUGCAAUGAUCAGAUACCUCGCAAGUCAUACUAACUCUUGUAUAUGUGAUGCAAUUGUUCCAGAUUCAAUAUGCACCACUAACCUCUUGCACUACCUAAUCCCACCCUAAGUCUGUCAUUCUAAUAGAUUCUACUGACAAAAGGAAUAAUUAGGUUAACGUGAGUCGCAGGUCAAAAAAGUAAUAAAGAAGAUGACUUUUAAAAAUCUCUGGUAUGAAAAGAAGUGGGUCCGUUCAGAAAGAAGAAAGAGGCUACUUUUCAUUGAACAACUUCUCUACUUGUAGUAAUUUUUCAAAAAUUCAUUAACAUCAAUCCAACACAAUGAAUGAGAAAGAUUGGGACACAAGUAGUCCACUAAGUCACUCAAAACAUCAUCAAAGCAAAAAAAAAACAACGAAUAAUGUUAGUCUCAGAACAGAUAAGCUUCGAAUUCUUCUAGUUGAAACAAACAUGCAGGUCUAGAGAAGGAAGAAAGAGGUACCUGUUUGGCCAUGCUACAAGCUUUCUCAGAAGAGUUGAGAAUCUCGUAGUAAAACACCGAGAAAUUGAGAGCCAGACCCAGCCUGAUCGGAUGCGUAGGCGCUAGAUCAGCAACCGCAACGUCCUUCCAAGACACAACAUUCAUAUGAUCAGUUCGUUUCCAUUAAAAAAAAUAACAAAAAUCAACAAACAAUUAAAAAAAAAAACCAUGAAAUAGAGAAGCAAAAGUUGACUAGUUUAAAAAAGCUCAAAUUGAAACCAAUUAAGGAACUAAUCACAUAGUCUAAGCUAAUAGCCCAUACCUGAGCAGCCUUGUAGGCGAUCAUGGUAUCUUCGGCAGCAGUCUUCCUCUCAUCUCCAGAUUUGAACUCGGCCAUGUAGCGAUGGUAAUCCCCCUUCAUCUUCAGGUAAAACACCUUCGACUCGCUAGCCGUAGCCGAAGGGAUCAGAUGCGUAUCGAGCAGCUUGAGGAUCCCCGAGCAGAUCGUCGAGAGCUCCCCCUCCACCUUGGAUCUGUAAUCCUUCACGAGCGACACGUGCUCCUCGUUCUUCCUGC